UGGCGAAAUUGUGGACAUCACAGGAGCAACCACAGCCAUCACAGCAGCAGCCAUCAGUGCAGCCACCAUCACAGCCACCACCACAGCCAUCAACAUUGCCACAGGCACAGGUGUGGCCAGGGCCACAGCCACCACAACCACAGCCACCACCUCAGCCAACACAACCAAGUGCUCAAGCCCGUUGUACUCAGCACACCUCCAAAUGCAAUCUCCAGGAUUCCCAAAGGCCAGGUCUCAUGAACCCAUGCCAAUCUAGCCCCAUCAGAAACACUGGGUAUUCACAACUCAAGUCUACCAAUUACAUACAGCAGUGGUGAUCCAGAGAUUGAACCCAGGACCCCAUGGCCAUCCCCAAAAUGCAGAUGAGCAACCACAUCUUCUCAGCAUCCAGCAAUAUCUCCACUCCAAAAGCCACCCACUCUAGAAGAGGAGGCUGCCAGGAAUAAAAUGUAAUUUUUUU
rnacentral:lncRNA from 1 species